GAAAGGACCUGGAAUCUGUGUCUCCUGUCUUCCAGGGUAGAAGGACCUCUGACAUCGUGUGGUGAACCUCACUGGGAGGUUGCUGACUUCAGCUGUCUCUGUCUCCUUCCUCCAUGCUCUCUGAAGGAGAAAGCAGAAGAAAAGACGAAGGGACAGACAUCAGAAGAGGAGCAUCGAAGACAAGCUUGAGAGUGCUUUGCUGGAUUUUCAAAGAAUGGCGAGAAUCAGCUGUUGGCAUUUGCCAUAUAAACAUAUGGAGACUUACCAACUCAAGAGAACAUACUAGACAACUGAGAACAGAGCACAUUCCUGAAGAAAAGGGGAUAUGCUAUAUACACCAGGGUGACUGAACUCUCCUGUCUGGAUGGAAGGAUUUCAGCCAGGUCAUUAACAAAACUGCCUUAAAGAAGCUCUUGAUUCUUUAUGGAAGAAGUAAAAGGGGAAACAGUGUUCAGAGCAUACCAGGAAAGUAUCACAAUUGCCUUCCUGGUGCCUGUGCAUUGCAAGAAGAAAUAAACAUAGCAAGGUUAUCUCUGAUAAAGUGCA
rnacentral:lncRNA from 1 species